UGAUAGUAAGAGCUAAUUGACUGGACGUUACCCACAGAAGAAGCACCGGCUAACUCCGUGCCAGCAGCCGCGGUAAUACGGAGGGUGCGAGCGUUAAUCGGAAUAACUGGGCGUAAAGGGUGCGUAGGUGGUUUAAUAAGUUAUCUGUGAAAUUCCUGGGCUUAACCUAGGCAGGUCAGAUAAGACUGUUACGACUCGAGUACAGGAGAGGGUAGUGGAAUUUCCGGUGUAGCGGUGAAAUGCGUAGAGAUCGGAAGGAACACCAGUGGCGAAGGCGGCUACCUGGCCUGAUACUGACACUGAGGCACGAAAGCGUGGGGAGCAAACAGGAUUAGAUACCCUGGUAGUCCACGCUGUAAACGAUGUCAACUAGCUGUUGGUUAUUUAAAUAUAGUCAGUGGCGCAGCAGUCGCGCAUAGUGACAUG
rnacentral:rRNA from 1 species